UACGAAGGGGGCUAGCGUUGUUCGGAAUCACUGGGCGUAAAGGGCGCGUAGGCGGCUUGAUAAGUUGGGGGUGAAAGCCUGUGGCUCAACCACAGAAUUGCCUUCGAUACUGUCUGGCUUGAGACCGGAAGAGGUAAGUGGAACUGCGAGUGUAGAGGUGAAAUUCGUAGAUAUUCGCAAGAACACCAGUGGCGAAGGCGGCUUACUGGUCCGGUUCUGACGCUGAGGCGCGAAAGCGUGGGGAGCAAACAGG
rnacentral:rRNA from 1 species